GAUGAACGCUGGCGGCGUGCCUAAUACAUGCAAGUCGAGCGAACAGACGAGGAGCUUGCUCCUCUGACGUUAGCGGCGGACGGGUGAGUAACACGUGGAUAACCUACCUAUAAGACUGGGAUAACUUCGGGAAACCGGAGCUAAUACCGGAUAAUAUAUUGAACCGCAUGGUUCAAUAGUGAAAGACGGUUUUGCUGUCACUUAUAGAUGGAUCCGCGCCGCAUUAGCUAGUUGGUAAGGUAACGGCUUACCAAGGCAACGAUGCGUAGCCGACCUGAGAGGGGGAUCGGCCACACUGGAACUGAGACACGGACCAGACUCCUACGAGAGGCAGCAGUAGGGAACCUUCCGCAAUGGGCGAAAGCCUGACGGAGCAGCGCCGCGUGAGUGAUGACGGCGUUCGGAGCGUAAAACUCGGUUACUAGGGAAGAACAAAUGUGUAAGUAACUAUGCACGUCUUGACGGUACCUAAUCAGAAAGCCACGGCUAACUACGUG
rnacentral:rRNA from 1 species